rnacentral:lncRNA from 10 species
GAGAGCGCCGAGACGCGCGGGGCGCGGAGAUGUGCAAGUGGCGAAGCUUGACCGAGAGCAGGCUGGAGCAGCCGCCCAACUCCUGGCGCGGGAUCUGCUGAGGGGUCACGAUUUUAGGUGAUGGGCAAGUCAGAAAGUCAGAUGGAUAUAACUGAUAUCAACACUCCAAAGCCAAAGAAGAAACAGCGAUGGACUCCACUGGAGAUCAGCCUCUCGGUCCUUGUCCUGCUCCUCACCAUCAUAGCUGUGACAAUGAUCGCACUCUAUGCAACCUACGAUGAUGGUAUUUGCAAGUCAUCAGACUGCAUAAAAUCAGGCAUGGUAGCACGCGCCUAUAAUCCCAGAGGGAGGAGAAUUGCUUGA